UUAACUGAAUUCUACUUGUUUUGUAUCAGUCAUUGCUUGAAUUUUAAAUAUGUUGGCCAUUGGUGAAUAUAAACCUUAGAUAAUCUGCUUGUCAACUCUUCUCUUUUCAGAACAUAUUAUCCUGCCUGUAUAUUAUGCUUUCCACACCAUUUAUGGAGACGUACCUAUUGCCAGGAUUUCAUUGCUUGGCAUUUAGAAACAUAGCCUCCACUAGACUAUCAAAGAAGUCAAUGGGGGAAAAGAGGCUAAGUACCCCAGUUCUAGCCAAAAACAGAGGAAACUGAGGUGUUGUGCCAAGCAUGUUCACACCUGUUCUCUCAAGUGAUCUUCACAACAGCACUGCAUGGCAGACGUCAUGAUCGCCCCAGUUUACAGGUGAAACACCAUGGCUCAAACACACACUGGCUCUAGAGGAUGUGGACUCAGACGCUGGACUUCAGGCUGUGAAUAAACCAAGCAUCUCCAGCUCCUAGAGGUAUACGCGGGAGCACGUGCGUGACUCUUAGAACCAGCUGUGCGAGCCAGUGAAGGUCAUGGACAUUCCUUGAUCCGAUGUUCCUCAUCCUGUUCCUGGGAUUGUUGUGAGGAUUCAGUUUAUGUACCCAGAAUGCCUGGCACACAG